UACGUAGGGUGCGAGCGUUGUCCGGAAUUACUGGGCGUAAAGAGCUCGUAGGUGGUUUGUCGCGUUGUUCGUGAAAACUCACAGCUUAACUGUGGGCGUGCGGGCGAUACGGGCAGACUGGAGUACUGCAGGGGAGACUGGAAUUCCUGGUGUAGCGGUGGAAUGCGCAGAUAUCAGGAGGAACACCGGUGGCGAAGGCGGGUCUCUGGGCAGCAACUGACGCUGAGGAGCGAAAGCGUGGGGAGCGAACAGG
rnacentral:rRNA from 1 species